rnacentral:ribozyme from 1 species
GCGUUGUGUUCUUUCUCUUUCUAUUUAAACUCAACACCAUUAAUUUCAUGUCUUUCUCUAGCGGUUGUAACUGAAUGGAAAUGAGAGAAGAACCGAAGUGAGAAGGAAUGGUAAUGAAAGA